UACGUAGGGUGCGAGCGUUAAUCGGAAUUACUGGGCGUAAAGCGCGUGUAGGCGGCCCUGCAAGUCGGAUGUGAAAUCCCACGGCUCAACCGUGGAAGUGCAUUCGAAACUGCAGGGCUAGAGUCCUGGAGAGGAAGGUGGAAUGCUUGGUGUAGAGGUGAAAUUCGUAGAUAUCAAGCGGAACACCAGUGGCGAAGGCGGCUUGCUGGUCCGGUACUGACGCUGAGGUGCGAAAGCGUGGGGAGCAAACAGG
rnacentral:rRNA from 1 species